GAACGGCAGCUGCGUAGAGAGCUUAGCUAUCUUGGCGGCGAGUGGCGGACGGGUGAGUAAUAUAUCGGAACGUGCCCAGUAGCGGGGGAUAACUACUCGAAAGAGUGGCUAAUACCGCAUACGCCCUACGGGGGAAAGGGGGGGAUCGCAAGACCUCUCACUAUUGGAGCGGCCGAUAUCGGAUUAGCUAGUUGGUGGGGUAAAGGCUCACCAAGGCAACGAUCCGUAGCUGGUUUGAGAGGACGACCAGCCACACUGGGACUGAGACACGGCCCAGACUCCUACGGGAGGCAGCAGUGGGGAAUUUUGGACAAUGGGGGAAACCCUGAUCCAGCCAUCCCGCGUGUAUGAUGAAGGCCUUCGGGUUGUAAAGUACUUUUGGCAGAGAAGAAAAGGUACCUCCUAAUACGAGGUACUGCUGACGGUAUCUGCAGAAUAAGCACCGGCUAACUACGUGCCAGCAGCCGCGGUAAUACGUAGGGUGCAAGCGUUAAUCGGAAUUACUGGGCGUAAAGCGUGUGUAGGCGGUUCGGAAAGAAAGAUGUGAAAUCCCAGGGCUCAACCUUGGAACUGCAUUUUUAACUGCCGAGCUAGAGUAUGUCAGAGGGGGGGUAGAAUUCCACGUGUAGCAGUGAAAUGCGAAAUAUGUGGAGGAAUACCGAUGGCGAAGGCGCCCCCCUGGGAUAAUACUGACGCUCAGACACAAAGCGUGGGGAGCAAACAGGAUUAAUACCCUGGUAGUCCACGCCCUA
rnacentral:rRNA from 1 species